UACAGAGGGUGCGAGCGUUGCUCGGAAUCACUGGGCGUAAAGGGCGCGUAGGCGGAUCUUUAAGUCGGGGGUGAAAGCCCAGGGCUCAACCCUGGAAUUGCCUUCGAUACUGGAGAUCUUGAGACCGGAAGAGGUAAGUGGAACUGCGAGUGUAGAGGUGAAAUUCGUAGAUAUUCGCAAGAACACCAGUGGCGAAGGCGGCUUACUGGUCCGGUUCUGACGCUGAGGCGCGAAAGCGUGGGGAGCAAACAGG
rnacentral:rRNA from 1 species